CCGGAGCCUCAGGCUGCAAGACUUGUCAGAAGGCUCGGAAGAGCUUGGAUGGGCCUCAAAGGCAGGCUAGAGACGUCAGUUUACCCAAGUUAUACAGCAAUCCCAACAGCAAUAAAAGCUGAAAUAACACAAGUGGGAACAAAAUAACAGAUGAUGUGAAAUCACCUGUUAGGAUGGAGAAGAACAGACCUUAGUUUGCCAGUGUGUGUCAACGUAGUUUAUCAUCUAUAGCUAUAAUUCAUACAAUCAGAGUUCAAGUUAAAUUAGGUCCAGUAUUGGUCUCAAUAUUGACUGCAGAGUAAAUCUGGAGCGUAUCCAAAGGUCCCUUCUGCAAAUUAGUAAACCAGCCCUGAACUUGCUGCAGCCAGCAGGGUCCUUGUAAACCAGCGGACCUGGGCAGCACGGGCAGUAUCACCAGUGGGCAGGGAUGUCUGGAAGUACUGAUGCUCAUACAGCAUUCACCAAGGCCCAAGAGUCAAAUCCUAAAUCAGUCCUGAAUCCAGCCUUCCCGGCAUCUGGGAGUGCUCUGUUUUCAGACCCUCCUCCAGGGUCUGUUCAGCAAAAGAGCUCUCUGACGAGCGGAGAUCGCCUGCAGACAAGUACGACUGCUAAGACCUGCUUUUACCCGCUGAGCCUGACGCACAGCCGAUAGCAGGUGAACAAAUGCUCACAUUAAAGGGACUCUGGGCAACGGUUAAAUUCCUUGAUGCUGACUCAGAAAGGAAGGCUCCUUUCAGCUGCAGUCCAUAACCGCGUCCUCGAAGCACCUAUUACUGUCCCUGUUUCUAACAGCACAAACCACAGUUUGGUGCUGCGGGGUAGGCAGGCUGCGGAGGUGACACCCCACCGAGGAGCCGUCCCAGCACCAAGUAAAAGGGAGGAGGCAGGAGGAAGCACCAAUUCAGCUCUGCUCAGCUUUUGGCUCCUGACACUAGCAAUGGGAAGAAGCUCCUGGGAGUUCUCUGCUGCUCGUGCACAUCAGGCCCGUCGGACACAGGAGAUGCCGCUAAUUUCAGGCUAUUCUGCGUUUGCCAUGGAUGUCUGCCGAGCUCACCUCCAUAGGUGACCGUACCUGCUUUGAACUCAAUCAUUUUACAGCAGAGAACCUUUGCUUACAUGCUCUAUGAAUUAUCAGCCAGUUGUGGCUCUGUGGAAUUAGCAAAGACUUUGAGAAAUUACAUGGCAUUCGUUACAGCGGGCAUGCGCAGGGUUAGCUUUUGCCUUUUUAUCCUAAAUAAAAGGUGGAGUUACCUGCUGGCAAACUUCUCUGCUCUUCAGGGCCUCUGCCUCCGUGUGUGAUCGUAAAGCACUCACUGCACUGUGAGCACUACCAGGUGGGAACACUGGAAUUUAAGGACAAAUUAGGCAAAAAUAUUAAGAUUUAUAUCCACAAACUGACUACUGCUCUGAAGAUUAAAGUUUAGGUGAACACAAAUCCCAUAUGUUCUCACCAACUCUAGCUCUGUCUGGUUUUUUUAAUCCUUCCCAUCUCUUCCAUCUCAUGAUCUGCUGA